rnacentral:misc_RNA from 1 species
GAUGAAGAACGUAGCGAAAUGCGAUAAGUAAUGUGAAUUGCAGAAUUCAGUGAAUCAUCGAAUCUUUGAACGCAUCUUGCGCUCCUUGGUAUUCCUUGGAGCAUGCCUGUUUGAGUAUCAUGAGCAAAUCUCAAAGUCAAUUCCUUUUGUUGAUUCAAUUGGUUUUGCUUUGGACUUGGAGGCCUUGCAGAUUUCACAGUCUGCUCCUCCUAAAUGCAUUAGCUGGAUCUCAGUAAUUAUGCUUGGUUCCACUCGGCGUGAUAAGUAUCACUCGCUGAGGACACUGUUAAAAAGGUGGCCAGGAAAAUACUGAUUGAACCGCUUCUAACGGUCUAUUAAGUUAGACAAUUACCCUUAAGUUUGAUCUCAAAUCAGGUAGGACUACCCGCUGAACUUAAGCAUAUCAAUAAGCGGAGGA